AAUGUUUCAUCUGAUCUGUGUCUUCCCUUCUACACCUCAACUGGCUUUAUGAACAGGCAUUGCCUGUGCAUUUGCAGCUAAGGGGUCUUUCCUCUAUACUGAGCAGUUAAAUUUCCUCUUUGGCUUUCUGUGUAUGUAAGGGUAUGGGACUUUAUAAUUUAUGGACCAUUCAGUGGUGAUAGUUAGAGAGAAAAGCCUAGGACCUCAACAGAAGGACACUUACCUGCCCCAAAGUUGCUCCACAGACAGAAACCUGAGUAAUUAAUGUGUCACUAGACACAAAAAUAAGCAUUUCUGAACUGGUAAAUUGAUGCAACAUGUUAAUCCUGGUUACAACUGAUUUAACUGAAUCUCAUUUCGCUGAUUAAAUGAGACUUGACUAUUUACAGCAGCCUCACUGUACACUGAAUACUAUACAACCAUCUUGCUGCAUUUGUUUAAUUUCUAAAGUUGCUGUCUGUUACCUCAGGCAGGUAAGCGGCAAGGCCCUGCUGUGACCACACACACUCUUGUGCCUAAGCAGCUCUAGAAACCGAUGUGCUUUUGAUGCUGCCAGUACACAGAAAUGAAGAAAACCACAAAAAUAAUUGGAUGGGAAUGAGAAACUUGAAAAAACUCCUCAAACUGACCAGUUUUGUUCAGUACCAAAGGAAUUGAGACAUUUCCCAUGGUGCAGAAUAUCUUCAGUUCCCUCUCUUCAAACUCCGAGGAUCUUCAGAUCUGCAUCCCCUCCUUCCUGUAAAAUAUUCCCAGAAGAAUGUUAUUCAGAGAAGGAUCUCCCAGGUCAUCCAUCAAUGCUGUCAGACCUCAAAAUCUACUAGAGUAUGAUGUGAACCCACAGGAAUCCAGAGACAGAAGUCAUCAAAAUGGAGGCAAGAGAGCAGGACCUUCUGAGCUGGAUUCUUUGAGGCAGGUUGAAUAA
rnacentral:lncRNA from 1 species